GAUGAACGCUGGCGGCGUGCCUAAUACAUGCAAGUCGAGCGAACGGACGAGAAGCUUGCUUCUCUGAUGUUAGCGGCGGACGGGUGAGUAACGCGUGGAUAACCUACCUAUAAGACUGGGAUAACUUCGGGAAACCGGAGCUAAUACCGGAUAAUAUUUUGAACCGCAUGGUUCAAAAGUGAAAGACGGUCUUGCUGUCACUUAUAGAUGGAUCCGCGCUGCAUUAGCUAGUUGGUAAGGUAACGGCUUACCAAGGCAACGAUGCAUAGCCGACCUGAGAGGGUGAUCGGCCACACUGGAACUGAGACACGGUCCAGACUCCUACGGGAGGCAGCAGUAGGGAAUCUUCCGCAAUGGGCGAAAGCCUGACGGAGCAACGCCGCGUGAGUGAUGAAGGUCUUCGGAUCGUAAAACUCUGUUAUUAGGGAAGAACAUAUGUGUAAGUAACUGUGCACAUCUUGACGGUACCUAAGCAGAAAGCCACGGCUAACUACGU
rnacentral:rRNA from 1 species